AUUGUUUAUUGAUAUAUUUUGAGUGCUGUCCACAUACAUUAACAAAGCAGUGCUUGCUAAGAUACGUUAAAGUAUGUAAGACUUCCCCAUUUAGGUUUUCACUUUCUAAAUCAGGGGUUGGCAAACUUCCUGUAAAGGUCCAGAAAGUAAAUAUUUUAGGCGUUGCAGGCCAUUCGGUCUCUGUUGCAACCACUCGGCUCUGUCAUGGAAGCAUGAAAGCAGUCAUGCACAGUAUGUGAGUGAAUGGGAAUGGCAGCGUCCCAAUAACUUUAUUUCCAAAAUAGGCUGCAGGCUGGAUUUGGCCCUGCCAACUCCUGCUCUAAAUCCUUAUUUUGAAAGGUGGGGAAAGACGGAAUAAAUAUUCGAAGCAUGUAUCUUGAUAAUCACUACAGUCAAAGUUUCUUAUAAAUGUUGUCAAUAAGAAUUAUGAUGUACAUGCCAUUUUGGAAAUGUCUCCAAAUUUUUCUUCUCCAAGAACAAAAUGGAAACUAAGUGAGUUUUUCCCUGCCGUACCCUAUUAAUACUAAGGCAUGAGGUUGUAGGGGAUAGCAGGAGUAUGAGAAUUAGAAGUACUGACAAGACAGGGAAGUGACACAAAAGAAGAAUGCAGAGAAAAGAGAGCAGAUGGAAGUCAGCAUGGCCUGCAGCUACACGUGUCUGGGUCCUAAUCCUACAGCGGAUGGUGUGUUAGGGGUGAAGUGACUGCCUUGUAGCCAAGAACUGCAGUGUCCAGAUAGGGAAUUCAACAGGAGACACAGCCAGUUCUUAAGAGAUAAGACAGCACCAAGGACAGCCAGAAUGAGGCCAAAUCAAAGAGAACGGACUACAGAUUAAAGCAACUGCAGACUUCACAGCAGAUGCCAGCAGAAUUCCCAGCAGUGAGGCCAGACAGCUGUUCUCAGUGGACACCAGCUAACAUACAUCCACAGUAAAGAUCCAGAGAAAGAUAUAGAGAGUGAACCAGAGGAAGAUGAAGAAAUGGAUUUGUAUUGGGCAUUGGAUACAUAUCAGAUGUAUUUACACCAUGUCCAGAAGUAUCUAGAACAAGAACAUCAACGAAAGUCAUUUGCAGCAUCUGGAUGACAAAUGAAGACGCAAAGCUUAGCACAGAUCCUUGCCACUAUGAUCCAUGUUGAUCAGAGCACUUUCUUCUGGAACUAGCUGUUUCAAAACAAGAACACUAUCUGAAAGUGUAAGUGAUGCGAAAAAAUGAGAACACUCAGGAAAUUUAAUGAAUUGUUUUUCAUAAACAUAAACAUAGAUUGAACCAUUUCUAGAAGAUUUCCCAUAUUUGACCAUCCUUUAUCAAAUUGGCUGCUUUUUGGUGGAACUGAUGGUGAUCUUCUUAGGUGGGUUUCACUCCACUAACUACACUUGGCCUAAUCCACACUGCUGUGGCAGAACUUAAUGCUUAUUAAUAGCAGAGAGGCACAUGUUACAUAGUCAUAUACUGCAUUGCAAACCUAAUAUUACAGGUACAUAUUAUCAGGUAAAAUACUUGAUUACACUUUUGAGACUGAUAGUCACUAUUAUGCUUAAUAUUUGCAUGUAUAAAUUCUAAAAGGAAUUUUAAAAAAUAAAGUUAAUAAAUUCUUAGAAAUACACACUGUUCUUAUAAACAGUUACUAUUAAUAUGUCACCUGUCAGAGUCAAGGUUUAUAAAUUAAAAGGCAAGGUUUUCCCACACGUUGUCAAGCAUUGGUGCUUGAGUGUUCGUGAAUCGCUGUGACCAUGUGAAAACCAAGCCUGUGUUUAUAUGUGUUUCCUCUCUAAUAUGUGCAUUUGCCUUUCUGUUCUGUAUUAUGUUAUGUACUAGGAUAGACUAAAGGUUUAGAAAACCUAAAGGACAAAAACAAGGUAAGAGUUUUUGUACCUUCUGAUCCAAAGUGACUUGAAUUUCUGUGUACUGGUUUUACCACAUUUGGUGUUGGAAAGAAGCAUGUGAAGUGUGGAUAGGUCAUGAGGCUGGGACUUCAUCCUAUUCCUGGCCCUAACUGGCUAAGAGCUCUUGGGAAAAUUAACCUUUCUAAACCUCAAAUUUAUGGUCUACAAGAGAUGAUGGUCUCCCUUGGAGGGGUGUGGAUGGAAUUGAACGAGAUAUCCACACAGGGCACACACUAUUGUAUGGAGACACAGAAAGCAUCCUAUGAAUAUUGCUUUUUGCUCCACACUCCUCCUCCGGUCAUACUCCCCCCAAAUAAAAAUGGCAAAGUGGGAAACUGACCUUUAUCUGAAACUAUCACCUCAAUAUAGCAGCCGUACAUAUGGAAAAACCAAAGUAAAAUGAAUCCCUUUAAUUUCUAUAAAUUGUGACGGAUCACACUUUUAUCAUAUUUUUAUUCUUUGCUAUUAGUCUGUGCCCAGGCUACAUGCCCAGUGUAAUGGUUAUUCAUACGAAAUCAAAAUAAUAUCAAAGUAGCUAUUUUAAAAUGCUUACAAUUUGUAAAAUUAAAUGACAUUCUUUGUAUAUGUUACCCAAAUGCCAAUUUGACUGUUUUUUCCCCACUGAGUUAUAUGUCUAUAUUUUUACAUAUAUAAAGUUCUCCAUACGUAAUUGAUUCCAUUAAGUUUCAAAACAAGUGAUUUUGAGCAGCAUGGUUUUGCCACCCAUUGCCCUGACAAAGAAAGAUCUAUUGGAAACCAAGUUCUAAACUGGGGAGUUUUGCUUUGCCCUUGUGUCUCUUCUUACUCAGUUUCUUAAUUUUUUGGCAGAUAAAAGACUUUGGGCUCAAGCCCAAUGUAAGCACAUAUGUAUCUGACAGAGAAGAGGAGCAGAACUUGAAUAUUUAUUGUUGGCUACAAUAACAACUGUAGUUGAACAAUACUUUCUGGAAAUAAUAAAAAAAACUAUCGUUUGUUAAAUAUAUGGUAGAAGUAUGCUAAGUGUUAUACAUACAUAGACUAUGUGUGAGAUGGCUAUUACCACAUUUUGCAGAUGCAGAAAUCAUGAUCACAGAAUUGAAGCUUAUCUACAAAGAAAGGUGUUACAGUAAAACAAAGAGGAGCAGCUUUCAGGUGUGUAAGCGCCAAAAGAGAAGGGGCUGUGUCUGUUUUUCCUCACCACUGAAUUCCUGACAUCCAGAUAGUAAAUGAAUGAAUGAAUAAAGUUCUCCAAUUUGAAUAAAUUCCAAAAAGAGAAGAAAACCUGGGCAAUACCAUUCAGGACAUAGGUAUGGGCAAAGACUUCAUGCCUAAAACACCAAAAGCAAUGGCAACAAAAGCCGAAAUAGACAAAUGGGAUAUAAUUAAACUAAAGAGCUUCUGCACAGCAAAAGAAACUACCAUCAGAGUGAACAGGCAACCUACAGAAUGGGAGAAAAUUUUUGCAAUCUAUCCGUCUGGCAAAGGGCUAAUAUCCAGAAUCUACAAAGAGCUUAAACAAAUUUACAAGAAGAAAACAAACAACUCCAUCAAAAAGUGGGCAAAGGAGAUGAACAGACACUUCUCAAAAGAAGACAUUAUGCAGCCAACAGACACAUGAAAAAAUACUCAUCAUCACUUGUCAUUAGAGAAAUGCAAAUCAAAACCACAACGAGAUACCAUGUCACACCAGUUAGAAUGGCCAUCAUUAAAAAGUCAGGAAACAACAGGUGCUGGAGAGGAUGUGGAGAAAUAGGAACACUUUUACACUGUUGGUGGGAGUGUAAAUUAGUUCAACUUUUGUGAAAGACAGUGUGGUGAUUCCUCAAGGAUCUAGAACUAAAAAUACCACUUGACCCAGCAAUCCCAUUACUGGGUAUGUACCCAAAGGAUUAUAAAUCAUGCUGCUAUAAAGACACAUGCACACUUAUGUUUAUUGCAGCACUAUUCACAAUAGCAAAGACUUGGAACCAACCCAAAUGUCCACCAAUGAUAGACUGGAUAAAGAAAAUGUGGCACAUAAACACCGUGGAAUACUAUGCAGCCAUAAAAAAGGAUGAGUUCAUGUCCUUUGCAGGGACAUGGAUGAAGCUGGAAAAUAUCAUUCUCAGCUAACUAAUACAGGAACAGAAAACCAAACACCAUGUGUUCUCACUCAUAAGUGGGAGCUGAACAACGAGAGCACAUGGACAUAAGGAGGGGAACAUCACACACUGGGGCUUGUCGAGGGGUGGGGGCCUAGGAGAGGGAUAACAUUAGGAGCAAUACCUAAUGUAGAUGACAUGUUGAUGGGUGCAGCAAACCACCAUGGCACGUGUAUAUCUAUGUAACAAAAUUGCAUGUUCUACAUAUGUAGCCCAGAACUUAAAGUAUAAAACAAAUCCUCUUUUACACAUGAAAGGAGGCAUGAUUUCGUAACUAGAACAGUUGUGUUCAUGCUUUUGGGUUGUUCACUAUCUGUACCAGAAAUGUGAUUUGGAGAUUAGCUAGGCAUUCCUUUAUGCCUGUUCCCUAGAGACCAUGCCAGGAUACAUUUGUUCUAACAGUUGUGAAAAACUAAUUGUCACAUACUGGAGUGAAUUCAAAAUGGACCAACAACCUAAAUAUAAAUGCUAAAACCAUAAAGCUCUUAGACAAACACACAGGAGCAAAUCUUCAUUACCUUGGAUUUGGCAGUGAAUUCUUAAGUAUGAUACCAAAAGCACAAGUGACAAAACAAAAAGUAGACAAUUGGGCUUCAUCAAAAUUAAAAACUUUUGUGCAUCGAAGGACAUUAUCAAGAAAGUUAAAAGACAACCUACAGAAUGAUGGAAAAUAUUUAUAAAUCAUAUAUUGGAUGGGGUUUAAUAUUUAGAAUAUAUAAGGAAUUUCUAUGACUCAACAAUAAAAAGGCAAAUGAUCCAAUUUAAAAAUGGACAAAGGACUUUAAUAGACAUUCUUCCAAAGAAGGUAAACAAAGGGCUAACAAGCACAUGAAAAGAUGCUCAACUUCAUCAGAUAAGAGAGAAAUGCAAAUCAAAAUCACAAUGAAAUAAUAUCUAACGUGCUCUAGGAUGGCUAUAUAAUAGCCAGAGUUGGCAAAGAUGUGGAGAAAUUGAAACCCUCACACACGGCUAGCAGGAUGGUAAAAAGGUUUGGUCGCUGUGGAAGAACAUUUGUCAGUUCCUCAAAAAGCUAACUACUGAGUUACCAUAUGACCCAGCAAUUCUAUUCGUAGGUAUACAUUCAAAAGAAUACAAAAUAGGGACUCAAACAGAGACUUACACACCAAUGUUCAUUGAAGCAUUAUUCACAAUAGCCAAAAGGUGAAAACAACUCAAGUGCCCACCAACAGAUGAAUGAAUAAACAAAAUGUGCAAUAUUCGCACACACACACACACACACACACACACACACAAGCCCGUGCCACACAGGAAUAUUAUUCAGCCACAAGCAGGAAUGAAAUUUUGAGAUAUGCUAAAACACAAAUGAACCUUGAAAACAUCAUGUGAAUAGGCCAGACACAAGGACAAAUAUUGUAUGAGUUUGCUAAUAUGAAAUACCUAGAAUAGGCACAUUCAUAGAGAUAGAGAAUAGAUUAGAGGUUACCAGGGGAUGGAGAACAGGAAGUUAGUGCUUAAUGGUUAUAGAGUUUCUGUUUGGGAUAGUGAGAAUGUUUUGGAAAUAGAGAUGAUGGUUGUAUAACAUUAUGCAUGUAAUUAAUGCCAUUGAAUUGUACACUCAAUAAUGGUUAAAAUGGCAAAUGUUAUGUUACAUUAUUUAUGACCAUAAAGAUGCUUUAAAAAACUAAUUGCCAAAGGUUUUAAUAAAAGACUUAGUAAUA